GGAAGGUUGCUGUUCUUUAGUAUUAGUGUGGUUUGGAACAGGCUUGGCUUGGUUCUGCAGCAAGGUCCUGGUAUAACCAGUGGAAUAGGGAAACUUGCAACAAUGGAAAUAAGCAAGGCAGGACUUGAGUUCAGCAUCAACAUGAUGAGUCCAAGGCACCAGAAAACAGGCAAAGCAAGAUUAGACCUAAAGAAAUGUGCAAGGAUGGUUUUGAUGGCAGCAUGCUUGAAAAAGAAACAGAACCAGAGAGAAAGAUUGAGACUUCAUGUCUCGUUUGCAUACUUCUCUGCCACAGGCAAGUUUGGGUUUUUUCUCACAAACAGUGGACUGUGUUUGUCUGGGACUCAGUACUGUGCCAUAAAGCUCUUGUAUGUUCACUGCAUUUCUUCAGGCUGGCUAUUAUCUGUACCUAUAUGCAUGCAAAAAACAGCAAAG